ACAUCGCAAGUGCGAUCGUGAAAGCGAUAGUGCAUCACUGCGUUUAUAUGUCUAUCGAUAUGCAAAGACAAAACAUAUGUUGUAAAAGCAUAUGGUGCGAAAAGUGAAGUGCAUUAAUUGCAAAAUUGCAACUGGAAACAGCUUACUACCAAGUACAAGAGAGUAUGUGCACUACAAGGCAGAGAUGUGUGUGAAAGCAAGCUAACUGCAAGGUUAUGUUAAUUAUGCAAAUGUAAAUAAAAGUGUUGAUACUUAAUAUUUUUUGUUUUUCUUUGCAGUAUAUCAUCCAGUGGUACAAGAAGAAGUAGCUGAGAAGACUCCGCGUCCCAAACAUCGAGUAGUGCCGCUAGUUUAGUUAAGUGCGUUUGUGUUGAUAUUAGUCAGUGCACUGUAGUAUUUGUUUACUGCAUGUAUGUCUAUACAUGCAAAAUAAAACUUUAAUUGAAUAUAAA
rnacentral:sRNA from 1 species